rnacentral:pre_miRNA from 1 species
GGAGAGGGUGGGAGGGAAGGAGGGCGUGGUCUCGCUAUAGCUCCUCACUCCUCCCCUCCCGUCUUCUUCU